rnacentral:rRNA from 1 species
AAACAACUCUCAGCAACGGAUAUCUUGGCUCUUGCAACGAUGAAGAACGCAGCGAAAUGCGAUACGUAGUGUGAAUUGCAGAAUUCCGCG